rnacentral:rRNA from 1 species
CGGUGAGGUGACUUGUCUGGUUAAUUCCGAUAACGGACGAGACCUCGACCUGCUAACUAGCAAACAGUUACAUACAGUAAGUGUUUGGCUUCUUAGAGGGACUUUGUGAGUCUAUCACAAGGAAGUUCGAGCCUAUAACA